rnacentral:tRNA from 1 species
GAUCGCGUGCCCGAGUGGCUAGGGCCUCGCCUGCAAAGCGAGUGAACGUCGGUUCGAACCCGACCGCGAUCU